rnacentral:misc_RNA from 1 species
UAAUAAGGUUCCAAUACGUGAAAAUAUUAGAACGAAGACUCCAUUUGAAAUUGACACCGCGGCUGCAGCAGAAUUAGUAACAGCAGCGUCGGAGGAAGCAGUCGUCGCCGCCACGGUGGUGGUGGAGGAGUGGCGGUGGAGAUCGGUGGUCCGUUGAUCGAGAAUUUCGAGGUAGCCAGUAUCUCGGAGCCAGGAUUCGAAUACGGGUUCGGGUACACUCAGAGAUAACGGGUUAGCUGAGAACGCCAUUUUUGU